GACGAACGCUGGCGGCGUGCCUAAUACAUGCAAGUAGAACGCACAGUUUAUACCGUAGCUUGCUACACCAUAGACUGUGAGUUGCGAACGGGUGAGUAACGCGUAGGUAACCUGCCUGGUAGCGGGGGAUAACUAUUGGAAACGAUAGCUAAUACCGCAUAAUAUUGAUUAUUGCAUGAUAAUUGAUUGAAAGAUGCUAUUGCAUCACUACCAGAUGGACCUGCGUUGUAUUAGCUAGUAGGUGAGGUAACGGCUCACCUAGGCGACGAUACAUAGCCGACCUGAGAGGGUGAUCGGCCACACUGGGACUGAGACACGGCCCAGACUCCUACGGGAGGCAGCAGUAGGGAAUCUUCGGCAAUGGACGAAAGUCUGACCGAGCAACGCCGCGUGAGUGAAGAAGGUUUUCGGAUCGUAAAGCUCUGUUGUAAGAGAAGAACGGGUGUGAGAGUGGAAAGUUCACACUGUGACGGUAUCUUACCAGAAAGGGACGGCCAACUACGUG
rnacentral:rRNA from 1 species